AGCCUGAACGCUGGCGGCGUGGCUAAGACAUGCAAGUCGUACGGGCGUAGCAAUACGUCAGUGGCGAACGGGUGAGUAAAGUAUCGCUAACGUACCCCUCAGUCUGGGAUAGCCGGGGGAAACUCCGGGUAAUACCAGGUGACAUUCUCUGCCUGCAUGGGCGGAGACUCAAAGGGAAACCGUUGAGGGAGCGGGCGAUAUCGUAUCAGCUAGUUGGUGAGGUAACGGCUCACCAAGGCGACGACGCGUAGCCGGGCUGAGAGGUCGGCCGGCCACAUUGGGACUGAGACACUGCCCAGACUCCUACGGGGGCUGCAGUAACGAAUCUUCCGCAAUGCACGCAAGUGUGACGGAGCGACGCCGCGUGUGGGACGAAGUCCUUCGGGAUGUAAACCACUGUCAGGGUAAGAAAGUUCUGAUCUACCCAGAGGAAGGCACGGCUAACUCUGUGCCAGCAGCCGC
rnacentral:rRNA from 1 species